ACGAACGCUAGCGGCGUGCCUAAGGUAUGCAAGUCGAACGGGGGGAGCAAUCCCCUAGUGGCGAACGGUCGAGUAACACGUAGACAACCUGCCUCCCAGUGGGGGAUACCCGCUCGAAAGGGCGGCUAAUACCGCAUGUGGUCUUCUUUCGCAUGGAAGAAGCACUAAAGGUUUACUGCUGGGAGAUGGGUCUGCGGCCUAUCAGCUCGCUGGUGAGGUAACGGCUCACCAGGGCGACGACGGGUAGCGGGUCUGAGAGGAUGAUCCGCCGGACGGGGACUGAGACACGGCCCCGACUCCUUCGGGAGGCAGCAAUGAGGAAUAUUGCGCAAUGGGGGAAACCCUGACGCAGCGACGCCGCGUGGGUGAGGAAGUCCUUCGGGAUGUAAAGCCCUUUUCUCGGGGACGAAACGGACGGUACCCGAGGAAGAAGCCCCGGCUAACUACGUGCCAGCAGCCGCGGUAAUACGUAGGGGGCAAGCGUUGUCCGGAUUUACUGGGCGUAAAGGGCGCGUAGGCGGAUGCGGUAAGGUGCACCUGUGAAAGCUCCCUGGCUCAACUGGGAAGCGUGGCAGGCGAAACUGGCCUUUCUGGAGUGUGGAUAGAGGGGCGUGGAAUUCCCUGGUGUAGCGGUGAAAUGCGUAGAGAUCAGGGAGGAACACCUGUGGCGAAAGCGGCCACUGGAUCAGCACUGACGCUGAGGCGCGAAAGCUAGGGGAGCAAACAGGAUUAGAUACCCUGGUAGUCCUAGCCCUAAACUAUGAAUGCUUGGUGUAGUGGGUACCCAAUCCCACUGUGCCGGAGCUAACGCGUUAAGCAUUCCGCCUGGGGAGUACGGUCGCAAGGCUGAAACUCAAAGGAAUUGACGGGGGCCCGCACAAGCGGUGGAGCAUGUGGUUCAAUUCGACGCAACGCGAAGAACCUUACCUGGGCUCGAAGCGCAGUGGAAUCCGGUGGAAACAUCGGCGCCCGCAAGGGUCGCUGCGGAGGUGCUGCAUGGCUGUCGUCAGCUCGUGUCGUGAGAUGUUGGGUUAAGUCCCGCAACGAGCGCAACCCUUAUCGUUAGUUGCCAUCAGGUCAAGCUGGGCACUCUAGCGAAACCGCCUCGGAUAACGGGGAGGAAGGUGGGGAUGACGUCAAGUCCUCAUGGCCUUUAUGUCCAGGGCUACACACGUGCUACAAUGGUCGGUACAAACCGUCGCAAACCCGCGAGGGGGAGCUAAUCGGAAAAAGCCGGCCUCAGUUCGGAUUGGAGUCUGCAACCCGACUCCAUGAAGCUGGAAUCGCUAGUAAUCGCAGAUCAGAACGCUGCGGUGAAUACGUUCCCGGGCCUUGUACACACCGCCCGUCACAUCACGAAAGUGGGUGAUACUAGAAGUCGUUUCGUCAACCCGCAAGGGGGACUGACGCCCAAGGUAUGACUCAUGAUUGGGGUG
rnacentral:rRNA from 1 species